AUCCUGGCUCAGGACGAACGCUGGCGGCGUGCCUAAUACAUGCAAGUAGAACGCUGAGGAUUGGUGCUUGCACUAAUCCAAAGAGUUGCGAACGGGUGAGUAACGCGUAGGUAACCUACCUCAUAGCGGGGGAUAACUAUUGGAAACGAUAGCUAAUACCGCAUGAYACUAGAGUACACAUGUACUUAAGUUAAAAGGAGCAAUUGCUUCACUAUGAGAUGGACCUGCGUUGUAUUAGCUAGUUGGUGAGGUAACGGCUCACCAAGGCGACGAUACAUAGCCGACCUGAGAGGGUGAUCGGCCACACUGGGACUGAGACACGGCCCAGACUCCUACGGGAGGCAGCAGUAGGGAAUCUUCGGCAAUGGACGGAAGUCUGACCGAGCAACGCCGCGUGAGUGAAGAAG
rnacentral:rRNA from 1 species